rnacentral:misc_RNA from 1 species
CUUAAUUUUAAUGAAAUUCAGAGGGAAAAUAAGGGAGGAAACACUCAAACUACCCUGAAGAGCCAAACCUCCCCUGCACAAACAGACAUCGAACCAGAACUAUUCAUAACAAAGGCAACAAAAUCCUAAUUAAGAUCUAAGAUCAGCAGCAGCUCAAGAGCCAUAAGGAUGUUGAACAUGCUUUUAUUGCAUAAACAUUCAGGAUUCCAUCAUUCCUUUUCAUAAUUCUAAUAAUGAUUUCUUCAUAAUGAUACUAAUUUCCUAUUUUGAUUUUAUCCAGAAGAGAC